UGCCAGCCGCCGCGGUAAUACGGAGGGUGCAAGCGUUAUCCGGAAUCACUGGGUUUAAAGGGCGCGUAGGCGGCUUGGUCAGUCAGAUGUGAAAGCCCGGGGCUCAACCCCGGAACUGCAUUUGAUACUUCCAAGCUAGAGGUCGAAAGAGGAGAGUGGAAUACCCAGUGUAGAGGUGAAAUUCGUAGAUAUUGGGUGGAACACCAGUGGCGAAAGCGGCUCUCUGGUUCGAAUCUGACGCUGAGGCGCGAAAGCGUGGGGAGCAAACAGGAUUAGAUA
rnacentral:rRNA from 1 species